GGCCGCCUGGCGAAAUGGCAUCGCGUCUGACUACGACGUGGUUGUAAUCAGGAGAUUGCAGGUUCGACCCCUGCGGUGGUCA
rfam:Postia placenta Mad-698-R POSPLscaffold_79_Cont4025, whole genome shotgun sequence.